rnacentral:misc_RNA from 1 species
CAGAGGUUCUAUUUCCUUUUUCUUCUCAUUAAAAAUUGUUUUGUACUGUACAUUCUCAUUUCUUAGAGCCUUCACUUGUCCCAGCAAUUCUGCACGCUCUGACCUCUUUGCUUUCAAUUCUUCAGUAAUCUGAAAACGGGACUGAUUGCUCUUCUGAAUCUCCCUGUCAUACUGGUCAAUUUUGGCUUUUAUUUUAGGAUCAUCAAAUGGUCGGUAUCUUACAAAAUAAAAGGUAUGGAUCUGCUUUGGAGCAGGCCACUCAUCAGCUGCAUCCGUUGGGAACUUAGAAUCUGCAACCUCAUCCCCUUCUCCUUUAGCUGGCUCCUCCUCAUGCGAACCAAAUUUUAUAGGUUUAAAACCAGAUUCCUUAUCCAGCUUUCCAUUUUCCUUGUCAUGCAAAAAUGAAUUAUCUACUUCAGUAACAGUCUCAACAGGUACUUGAGCCAUCUCAGAUCCACCAACCUCCACACCCAUUCUUCUGAGCAGCGAUCAACCUUGAAAAAUGGAAAACCAAAACGGUAGCUAAACAGAAUGGGGCAGGGAAGAAGUGAAAGAAAGACGGAAUUGGAUACGAUAACAGAAGAAAUGAAGGAAUGGAAGCAAGAAGAGAAGACCCUCUUGACAGAGGGGGGUCAGAUCUGAAGCUCUGUCUGACUCUCUCUCUCUCCGUGUCUAUCUUUUCCCCUGUUUCUGAUUUCUAUUCAAGAGAGAGAGAGAGAGAAAGAGAUAAAGA